rnacentral:rRNA from 1 species
CCUACGGGAGGCAGCAGUGAGGAAUAUUGGUCAAUGGGCGUGAGCCUGAACCAGCCAAGUAGCGUGAAGGAUGACUGUUCUAUGGGUCGUAAACCUCUUUUAUAAAGGAAUAAAGUGAGGCACGUGUGCCUUUUUGUAUGUACUUUAUGAAUAAGGAUCGGCUAACUCCGUGCCAGCAGCCGCGGUAAUCCGGAGGAUCCGAGCGUUAUCCGGAUUUAUUGGGUUUAAAGGGAGCGUAGACGGGUUUUUAAGUCAGUGGUGAACGUUUGUGGCUCAACCGUAAAAUUGCCGUUGAUACUGGGAGGCUUGAGUACGUUUGAGGCAGGCGGAAUGCGUGGGGUAGCGGUGAAAUGCUUAGUUAUCACGCAGAACCCCGAUUGCGAAGGCAGCCUACUAAGCCAUGACUGACAUUGAUGCUCGAAAGUGUGGGGAUCAAACAGGAUGAGAUACCCGAGUAGUC